CCCACUAUUUUCUCAAACACGUUAUCGCUCAACUUUGUUAUUCACGUUCCUUUGUAACUCUAGAGAAUGGACUCGCUUCUGCGUGAAAGCCAUUGAGCCAAAUGGACUCGCUUUUUGGAAUGGAGGAUGUUCUGAGGAGAUAUGUCUUUGGGAAGAAGAAGACAACAGAGUUUGCUCACUUGUAAGUACUUCAAAUACUGGAUUCCUUGAAAUAUUGAUUUUAUAUAUUGGCUUGCUAUUUUCAUUCUUUACAAAUAUUUCAAUGCUUGCUAGUUCAGAUUAAGUUAUAGUUGAUUAGAAGGCAACAGAAAAAUUCCCAUCACCACCACUUUUUGGCAUUAUAUAUUGUUGGAACAAUUGAAGAAAAGAAAGUAAUAUAUAAAAGUGCACUUUAAAUACAGCAGAGAGAAAGUUGAAAGUUCUUACAACAAUAGAUUGGAACUUUACAGAAGAAUUAUUUUCUGAACGAAAUUGAAGCAUCUGAUGCAAGUUUUAGUUUUUGGGGUUUUGUGUGCUUGCAUGUGAUUGUGUGGAUAAAGUUUUUAUAAAUCUUUGUUUGAUAUGAGCACAAAUUGAAACAUUAGGCAUGUUGGAUUACACUCUACAAUUUUCUUAUUUUUUAAUCAAUCAACAGUUGAUUUAAGGUCCCAAGAUGUCUUUUAUUGACACUUCAAUGGCAUACUCAAUGAUAAUAUGCUUGCCAUACAUAUUCCAUGCUUACUUCACUUCCUAUCUUGCUAGUGAUCCGCUCAUCCUUAAACAGAAUGAAUUGCGCUGGAUCAUGCUGCCAUUUAUUAUUAGCUGCUCCUUUCUAGGAAAGUAUACCACAAUCUUGAUAUGGUGGUGAUCUUUAAAAUGCCUUUUUAUACACUAGUGCGGAUGAUUGCCGAACUCUUUCACAAUUAACCAUAAACACACACACACACACAUCUUGGUACUUAAGUUUAUGAGCUGAAUGCUACUUUUGCUUGGUGGGUCAAGAAAAUGAGUUUGUUUUAUGGACCUUGUUUGAUACUAUAUUGGAAUGACCUUCUACAGGCUCCUGUUAAGGCAUUUUUUUUGUCCAAUUCCAUCUCUAGAUUGAGAUAUUUACGUU